rnacentral:rRNA from 1 species
AUGCUUUACACAUGCAAGUCGAACGGCAGCACGGGGGCAACACUGGUGGCGAGUGGCGAACGGGUGAGUAAUAAAUCGGAACGUGCCCGGUAGUGGGGGAUAACCAGUCGAAAGACUGGCUAAUACCGCAUACGACCUACGGGUGAAAGCGGGGGAUCGCAAGACCUCGCGCUAUCGGAGCGGCCGAUUUCCGAUUAGCUAGUUGGUGGGGUAAAGGCUCACCAAGCGACGAUCGGUAGCUGGUCUGAGAGGACGGCCAGCCACACUGGGACUGAGACACGGCCCAG